rnacentral:rRNA from 1 species
UACGUAGGGGACGAGCGUUGUCCGGAAUCAUUGGGCGUAAAGCGCGCGUAGGCGGCCCGGGAAGUCGGAUGUGAAAUCCCGGGGCUCAACCCCGGGCCUGCAUCCGAUACUCCCGGGCUGGAGGCAGGUAGGGGAGAUCGGAAUUCCUGGUGUAGCGGUGAAAUGCGCAGAUAUCAGGAGGAACACCGGUGGCGAAGGCGGAUCUCUGGGCCUUGCCUGACGCUGAGGCGCGAAAGCUAGGGGAGCGAACAGG